CCUUAAGGAGACAGACCUGCCUCUCUUCUGCCUGACCUUCUGCUGUCUACGUUCUGCAGACCUGGUCCCUGUGCUUUGGCUGGCUCAUUUCCACCUGACCUGGGAAGGUGUGGCCCUGAUUGACUCGGCAUACAAAACCUGCAGCUGCUCAAGGUUUUUAGAUGCUUAUUUUGGCAUUAAGCAAUAUAUAAAUGUAAUCACCGUCAUCAUCGUAAUAUACAACCCUAUGAGCUGCAGCAAGAUAGGUGCCAUAAAUGAAGAAACAGCCAUUUCAAA